rnacentral:rRNA from 1 species
AUUGAACGCUGGCGGCAGGCCUAACACAUGCAAGUCGAACGAAUGGCGGACGGGUGGGUAGUUUCUGAGAAACUGCCUGAUGGAGCGGGAUGACUACUGGAAACGUUGGCUACUGCCGCCUACCAUCGUAUGUGCCCACAGGGGCUUAGCGAGUAGGUGGGGUAAAGGCUCACCUAGGCGACGAUCCCUAGCUGGCCUGAGAGGAUGAUCGGCCACACUGGAACUGAGACACGGUCCAGACUCCUACGGGAGGCAGCAGUGGGGAAUAUUGGACAAUGGACGAAAGUCUGACGGAGCAACGCCGCGUGUGUGAAGAAGGUCUUCGGGUUGUAAAGUACUUUCGUUGGGGAGGCGUUAUCUGAAGAAGAAGCAACGGCUAACUCCGUGCCAGCAGCCGCGGUAAUAC